rnacentral:rRNA from 1 species
UACGUAGGGUGCGAGCGUUGUCCGGAAUUAUUGGGCGUAAAGAGCUCGUAGGCGGAAGCUUAAGCGGUGCCUGAAAGCCCCCGGCUCAACCGGGGAGGGUGGUGCCGAACUGGGCUUCUUGAGGGCGAUAGAGGAGAGUGGAAUUCCGGGUGUAGCGGUGAAAUGCGUAGAGAUCCGGAGGAACACCAGUGGCGCAGGCGGCUCUCUGGGUCGGCCCUGACGCUGAGGCGCGAAAGCGUGGGGAGCGAACGGG